AGGAGACGCUGGCGGCGUGGAUUAGGCAUGCAAGUCGAACGGUAUCAUCCUUUCGGGGGUGAGAGAGUGGCGAACUGGUGAGUAACACGUAGGUUAUCUACCCUCAAGACGGGGACAACCCAGGGAAACUUGGGCUAAUACCGGAUGUGAGCAACUUUUAGUUGUUUGAAAGGUGGCGUAAGCUGUCGCUUGGGGACGAGCCUGCGUCCUAUUAGUUAGUUGGUGAGGUAACGGCUCACCUAGGCAAUGAUAGGUAGGCGGCCUUAACGGGUGGUCGCCCACACUGGGAUUGAGAUACGGCCCAGACUCCUACGGGAGGCAGCAGUCGAGAAUAGUCUACAAUGGUCGGAAGACUGAUAGUGCGACGCCGCGUGAACGAUGAAUCCCUUCGGGGUGUAAAGUUCUUUUAUAUGUGAGCAGUGCUUCUUAUAUUAACAGUAUGGGGAGAGAGAUAUUAGCAUAUGAAUAAGCAACGGCUAACUCCGUG
rnacentral:rRNA from 1 species